rnacentral:rRNA from 1 species
GCUUGCUUGUUGGGGUUGUAGGACACUCUAUACGGAGUUACAAAGGACGACAUUAGACGAAUCAUCUGGAAAGAUGAAUCAAAGAAGGUAAUAAUCCUGUAGUCGAAAAUGUUGUCUCUCUUGAGUGGAUCCUGAGUACGACGGAGCACGUGAAAUUCCGUCGGAAUCUGGGAGGACCAUCUCCUAAGGCUAAAUACUCUCUAGUGACCGAUAGUGAACCAGUACCGUGAGGGAAAGGUGAAAAGCACCCCGGAAGGGGAGUGAAAUAGAACCUGAAACCGUGUGCUUACAAGUAGUCAGAGCCCGUUAAUGGGUGAUGGCGUGCCUUUUGUAGAAUGAACCGGCGAGUUACGAUUUGAUGCAAGGUUAAGCAGUAAAUGUGGAGCCGUAGCGAAAGCGAGUCUGAAUAGGGCGUUUAGUAUUUGGUCGUAGACCCGAAACCAGGUGAUCUACCCUUGGUCAGGUUGAAGUUCAGGUAACACUGAAUGGAGGACCGAACCGACUUACGUUGAAAAGUGAGCGGAUGAACUGAGGGUAGCGGAGAAAUUCCAAUCGAACCUGGAGAUAGCUGGUUCUCUCCG